AGAGUUUGAUCCUGGCUCAGGAUGAACGCUGGCGGCGUGGAUUAGGCAUGCAAGUCAAGGGGGCCGCAAGGCAACCGGCAGACGAGGUAGUAUAACGCAGGUACGCACCGAAAAGAUGGGCACAGCUCGUCGAAAGACGGGGUAAUUCCCAAUGUGGUAGCGAUACUAAAGGAGUAAUCCGCUUUUUGAGCGGCCUGCGCAGCAUCAGCUAGUUGGUAAGGUAACGGCUUACCAAGGCUAUGACGCUUAGGGGACCUGAGAGGGUGACCCCCACCGAUAGCACUGAGACACGGGCUAUACAUCUACGGAUGGCUGCAGUCGAGAAUCUUCCACAAUGGACGAAAGUCUGAUGGAGCGACGCCGCGUGACUGAUGAAGUCCUUCGGGACGUAAAGGUCUUUUAUGGGGGAGGAAGUCAUUGACGUUACCCCAUGAAUAAGGGGCUCCUAACUCUGUGCCAGCAGGAGCGGUAAUACAGAGGCCCCGAGCGUUAUCCGGAAUCACUGGGCGUAAAGGGUGUGUAGGCGGUCGUGUUAGUCUCUCGUAAAAGCUUCCUGGCUUAACCAGGAAAAUGCGGGAGAAACGGCACGACUUAGGAGGGCGCGAGAGGUAUACGGAACUCAUAGUGUAGGGGUGAAAUCCGUUGAUAUUAUGGGGAACACCAAAUGCGAAGGCAGUAUACUGGCGCGUACCUGACGCUGAGACACGAAAGCGUGGGAAUCGAACGGGAUUAGAUACCCUGGUAGUCC
rnacentral:rRNA from 1 species